CUGAACACAACAAGCGCUAAAGGGAACUGAAACAGAAACCACAAUAGGGCAGGGAGUUAAGGGAGAGGUAAGUAUAAAUACCCUGAACUUUACUUUGAUUGACCCCUGUCAUAUCCACGCCCCCAAAAUGUGAGUGUCUGGGGAAUGUGGGAUGACAGGAGCCAAUGGGAGCACAUUUCAUCUUUUGGCUCCCACUGCCCCUUUAAGAGCGUG